rnacentral:rRNA from 1 species
UACGAAGGGGGGCUAGCGUUGCUCGGAAUCACUGGGCGUAAAGCGCGCGCAGGCGGUCCUUUAAGUCUGAUGUGAAAGCCCACGGCUUAACCGUGGAGGGUCAUUGGAAACUGGAGGACUUGAGUACAGAAGAGGAGAGUGGAAUUCCACGUGGAGCGGUGAAAUGCGUAGAGAUGUGGAGGAACACCAGUGGCGAAGGCGGCUCUCUGGGACGGUACUGACGCUGAGACGCGAAAGCGUGGGGAGCAAACAGG